UAGGGAAUAUUGGGCAAUGGGCGAAAGCCUGACCCAGCAACGCCGCGUGCAUGAUGAAGGUCUUCGGAUCGUAAAAUGCUUUUCUGAGAGAUGAGAAAGGACAGUAUCUCAGGAAUAAGUCUCGGCUAACUACGUGCCAGCAGCCGCGGUAAAACGUAGGAGGCAAGCGUUAUCCGGAUUUACUGGGCGUAAAGCGCGUGCAGGCGGUUCGGUAAGUUGGAUGUGAAAGCUCCUGGCUCAACUGGGAGAGGUCGUUCAAUACUACCGGACUUGAGAGCGGUAGAGGGAGGUGGAAUUCCCGGUGUAGUGGUGAAAUGCGUAGAUAUCGGGAGGAACACCAGUGGCGAAAGCGGCCUCCUGGACCGUUUCUGACGCUCAGACGCGAAAGCUAGGGUAGCAAACGGGAUUAGAGACCCCGGUAGUCCUAGCUGUAAACGAUGUGAACUUGGCGUCGGCGGGUUCAAAGCCGUCGGUGCCGAAGCUAACGCGAUAAGUUCACCGCCUGGGGACUACGGCCGCAAGGUUA
rnacentral:rRNA from 1 species